rnacentral:miRNA from 1 species
GCGGAUGCCCUCCAGCUGGGCGGCCGUCUCCUUGCCGCUGCCGAAUAGGGUGCCUAGCUGGGUGGCCGUCUCCUUGCCCCCCGCA